UACGGAGGGAGCUAGCGUUGUUCGGAAUUACUGGGCGUAAAGCGCACGUAGGCGGCUUUGUAAGUUAGAGGUGAAAGCCCGGGGCUCAACCCCGGAAUUGCCUUUAAGACUGCAUCGCUUGAAUCCGGGAGAGGUGAGUGGAAUUCCGAGUGUAGAGGUGAAAAUUCGUAGAUAUUCGGAAGAACACCAGUGGCGAAGGCGGCUCAGCUGG
rnacentral:rRNA from 1 species